rnacentral:rRNA from 1 species
GAUGAACGCUGGCGGCGUGCCUAAUACAUGCAAGUCGAGCGAACAGACGAGGAGCUUGCUCCUCUGACGUUAGCGGCGGACGGGUGAGUAACACGUGGAUAACCUACCUAUAAGACUGGGAUAACUUCGGGAAACCGGAGCUAAUACCGGAUAAUAUAUUGAACCGCAUGGUUCAAUAGUGAAAGACGGUUUUGCUGUCACUUAUAGAUGGAUCCGCGCCGCAUUAGCUAGUUGGUAAGGUAACGGCUUACCAAGGCAACGAUGCGUAGCCGACCUGAGAGGGUGAUCGGCCACACUGGAACUGAGACACGGUCCAGACUACUACGGGAGGCAGCAGUAGGGACUCUUCCGCAAUGGGCGAAAGCCUGACGGAGCAACGCCGCGUGAGUGAUGAAGGUCUUCGGAUCGUAAAACUCUGUUAUUAGGGAAGAACAAAUGUGUAAGUAACUAUGCACGUCUUGACGGUACCUAAUCAGAAAGCCACGGCUAACUACGUG